rnacentral:rRNA from 1 species
GGGUUGUGAGGUUAAGCGACUAAGCGUACACGGUGGAUGCCCUGGCAGUCAGAGGCGAUGAAGGACGUGCUAAUCUGCGAUAAGCGCCGGUAAGGUGAUAUGAACCGUUAUAACCGGCGAUUUCCGAAUGGGGAAACCCAGUGUGACUCGUCACACUAUCAUUAACUGAAUCCAUAGGUUAAUGAGGCGAACCGGGGGAACUGAAACAUCUAAGUACCCCGAGGAAAAGAAAUCAACCGAGAUUCCCCCAGUAGCGGCGAGCGAACGGGGAGGAGCCCAGAGCCUGAAUCAGCAUGUGUGUUAGUGGAAGCGUCUGGAAAGGCGCGCGAUACAGGGUGACAGCCCCGUACACAAAAGCGCAUAUGCUGUGAGCUCGAUGAGUAGGGCGGGACACGUGGUAUCCUGUCUGAAUAUGGGGGGACCAUCCUCCAAGGCUAAAUACUCCUGACUGACCGAUAGUGAACCAGUACCGUGAGGGAAAGGCGAAAAGAACCCCGGCGAGGGGAGUGAAAAAGAACCUGAAACCGUGUACGUACAAGCAGUGGGAGCACCCUUUGGGGUGUGACUGCGUACCUUUUGUAUAAUGGGUCAGCGACUUAUAUUCUGUAGCAAGGUUAACCGAAUAGGGGAGCCGGAGGGAAACCGAGUCUUAACCGGGCGUUAAGUUG